rnacentral:rRNA from 1 species
UUUUAUUAAACUUAAUUUUUUUGGCGGUCUAUUAUCCUUUCAUAGGAACUUGUAAAUUUUAAUGGAUACCCCGCUUUUAUUAUUACCUUUUCUUUUUUUAUGUACGGCUGUUUAGUAUUAAAUUAGUUUUUAUUACUUAAAAAAAAUUUUUUUUUAUUUCAGGUCAAUGUGUAGGCUAUGAAAUGGUUUUUUAUGAGUUACUUUUUUAGGAUUAAUUUUUUAUUUUUUAAGAAAUUGGAUAUGAAAGUAAAUGAAAAUUAAAACUUUUUAUUGAUGAAGGACCUGAUAGAAGUACAUAUCGCCCGUCACUCUUUUGAUAG